rnacentral:rRNA from 1 species
UACAGAGGGGGCAAGCGUUGUCCGGAUUUACUGGGCGUACAGCGCGCGCAGGCGGCCACGUAUGUGACCGGUGACAUCCUCGGGCUCAACCCGAGGCGGCCCGGUUAGACAGCGCGGCUGGAGGCAGGGAGAGGGAUGUGGAAUACCCGGGUGGAGCGGUGAAAUGCGUAGAGAUCGGGUGGAACACCAGCGGCGAAGGCGGCAUCCUGGCCCUGAACUGACGCUGAGGCGCGAUAGCGUGGGGAGCAAACGGG